GGUUGAUCCUGCCAGUGGCAUAUGCUUGUCUCUGAGACUAAGCCAUGCAUGUCUAAGUAUAAACAAAUUUCUAUACUGUGAAACUGCGGACGGCUCAUUAAAUCAGUUAUAAUUUACUUGGUCUUUUUUUUAAAAAAAAAUAUUUUUUUCUUACUCGGAUAACUGUAGGAAUCCUAGAGCUAAUACGUGCAAAAAACCUUAACUAUAUUAUUAAAUUUUUUUUUAAUAAUUAUGGAAAAAGGUGUAUUUAUUAGGUACAAAAAUCAAUUUUUUUUACUUUUUUUUUGUAAAAA
rnacentral:rRNA from 1 species